AUUUGCGUGUAAUGCAUACGCCAAAUGCCAUUUUUGCGUGCAUAUGAUACGCCAAUCCUUCCCAUUAAUUUCGGUGGAGAGCAGAUGCGUCCAAAUAACACGCAUCAUCUUCAGCGGCAGUGACGUCACUAGCGAGGCUCGUUCAGUUCACCUGAUGCGCGUACACCUUCAAACAGGUAAGCAAGGUUACGUCGGAUUACAUACUCCACAACAACCUGUAAUCCAGCAGAUCUUUAAAGAAGCCAUCUCUUGUAAAAUCUCUCUCUCUCUCUCUCUCUCUCUCUCUCGCUCUGCUAGAAUUAACAGGGAACUUCAACUCCACGCUCCCAAUGCUGAUAUUGAAGAAGCUGUCAAGGGGGCUGAACAAGUCCUUCAAAGGAUCAACCCUUCACAGGAAGGCCUGUCAUGAGAUUUGAAUUUGACCAUCUUGUGCAUUUAUGAAGAAGACCAAAAGCUGCAAAGGCAAACACUUCCAAUGGAUUUCUCACAGAUUACUUAAUCAUUCUUCAUCAGCUCUUCACAAUAUCAGCCCAUUCAAAAGCUUCCAGAUCUUCCUCUCUUGUGUGACACAUCUGCUCUCAGUCCUUUACUGCCAACCUCCAGUCUUAGCAUUUCUGCUUGUAUUCAUUUUUCCUCUACAUUCAUCACUCCAAUCUCUACUAUAAGCACUCCUGUAUAUAUAUAUAUACACAUAAUAAUUAUUAUUAUUAUUAACCAUUUAUUUGUUUUGCAUUUAUUCACAAUAGAAGCAAACAAUGAUUACAGGAUAUAUGUUUUUAAAGGUGAUAAUUGUAAAAUAUUGGAGCAUUGUUCUUAAUCAUUUUUGCCUAUUUGGUUGAUAAAGGGAAGAAAACAAUAUAUUUUCAACUGUAGCCUUGAUUAUUCUUUGGCAUCUUUUGUCAGGAUUUCUGUAAACAAAUUCCCUUUUUAUUUUUGAAUAUUAAACUUAUGUUUUUUGAAGGGAGUUUCUGUUGCAAUUUUGUUUGUUUGUUUUCACUUAGUUACCUCUAUGCAUUUUUUUUAUUUUUUUUUAUCAACUUUUCUUUUUUUUUCAUAGUGGAAUAAACUGGAGAGAGACUGUUCUGGGCACUAUGUUUAUCUGCGAAAAGUUUGACAUAUCAAUAAACACUGUAAAAUGACUAGACAA